rnacentral:lncRNA from 1 species
AUCACUGAGUCGUCCACUCCGGUGAGACGAUGAUGCUGACCCCAUUGCAGAGCUAGGGAGUAAAUCAUCCAAUCCAGCACCCAAUUUCCUAAGCAGUCCCUGAAGUGCACUGCUAGAUAAAGUCAAAUUCUUGUGCAAAAUUCCAACACCACCUUGGCUAUCAUUAUCAUCGUCCUCACCACCAGCACCACCACCGGAAUCUAUAUUUAAUCCCAGACUCCACUCAGCAUCCCUAUCCGUAACUCAAACCUCGUGUUCUUUCUCCUUAUCUAAUUCUCUCUUUCAUUAGUAAAUAAAGCCAUUCCAUCAGUUUUCAUGGCACUAAUUGUGUUUGACAAUGUACAAUUGUACUAUUUGUGAGAAAACAAAAAAGAAUUUGGAAGUUAUUGUUGUAUUUGUCAGAAUUAACAGAGGGUACCUAGUACGACGCCACUGAGUGAACAGAGAGAUACAAGAAUUCCACAAACUGUAGAAUUCCACCCUACAGUCAAACAAAAAGAUGCCAUGGCCCUAUGUUCAAGUAAUAGCAAAUAUUUUUAAAACUCAGUCUCUUUAAGAGAAUAAGCACAAAAAAUUGAUUCUUUGCAGGAAAUUAGGGCACUGAAAUCCUACGACACUUUGCAAUAAGCACAGAAAUACUAUUAGAAGUUAGAAAUUAAGGUACUAAAAUCCUAUGGCAUUGAAAUACCUGUUUCAAUAGAUUACUAAAAUUCAAUCGAAAGCGGUCGGAGCAUCGGUGGUCAGAGCAGUAGUAGAUCGGACCACUGAUUUGAGAUGUGGAGCACUCGAUCGAUCGGAUGUGUACUGGAGCCUAGAGCAUUGAUUUGAAGAUCAAUCGAUUCGGAGCAGUUGAUCGAUCUGGAGUAAACGAUGAUCGGACACCCAAACAUUUUGAUUUGAAGAUUUACUUAGUGUGUUAACCCUUGACACCAAAGUGGAUCAGUUAUUUUUUAAUUUAUUUUAUUUUUUGUGAUAUAAUUCAUUAUAUUUUGGGGCGCUUUGUAAAAAAUUGGGGAGGAAAAAAAUUAAAGUCGUUGCAAUAGCUUUUUUACUCAAUUAAGCGUUGCCAAAG